CGCGCAGGACGACCUGCGCCAUGAAUCGUUUCGGGGACGGCCCCA
rnacentral:ncRNA from 1 species